rnacentral:rRNA from 1 species
UACGAAGGGGGCUAGCGUUGCUCGGAAUCACUGGGCGUAAAGCGCACGUAGGCGGGUCGUUAAGUCAGGGGUGAAAUCCUGGAGCUCAACUCCAGAACUGCCCUUGAUACUGGCGAUCUCGAGUUCGGGAGAGGUGAGUGGAACUGCGAGUGUAGAGGUGAAAUUCGUAGAUAUUGGGAAGAACACCGGUGGCGAAGGCGGCUCUCUGGACCGGAUCUGACGCUGAGGCGCGAAAGCGUGGGGAGCAAACAGG